rnacentral:lncRNA from 1 species
UGUAGGCAGAGUGCGCCCCGGGACCCCGCCGCGUCCCUUCCGGGUGCCCCGCUCUUCUGGUUCCUCUGCUGCUGCCUGGCGCCGUUUUGCAGCCUCCUGGCCCUCGCUGGUCCCUGCUCCGGACUUGGGCGCUCGGCUCCCGAGCCUCGGUGCGGACCGGGAGCUGAGGCCGGGAGCUGAGCCCUGCGGCCGGCGGCCUAGCGGCAUCCUCGCCUGGCGUGGGUGGGAGCGUCUCCGAUCCUGCUUCUCAUUACCUGUGGGUGGUAACUGGAGACUGCUUCGUGAGUCCGUGCCUGGAGUCUCCAAAUUCUAGCACGGAUCCCAAAGCAGGAGAGGCCCAAACCGGAUCCUCAGCGAGCCUUCACCCAAUCCAGCAUGUCAGAGGCACGCUCCACUCUUGUUCCUCCAUCCCAAGGAAGGAACGUCGGUAGGAAACGUGUCCUGUUGGAAGUGCUGAGCUGUGCGUGUCAGGGAGC